rnacentral:rRNA from 1 species
AGUGAACGCUGGCGGUAGGCCUAACACAUGCAAGUCGAACGGCAGCACAGUAAGAGCUUGCUCUUACGGGUGGCCAGUGGCGGACGGGUGAGGUAUACAUCGUAAUCUACUUUUUCGUGUGGGUUCACGUAGGGAAACUUACGCUAAUACCGCAUACGCCCUACGGGUGUAAGCAUGGGAUCUUCUGACCUUGCGCGAUUGAAUGAGCCGAUGUCGGAUUAGCUAGUUGGCGGGGUAAUGGCCCACCAGGGCGGCGAUCCGUAGCUGGUGUGAGAGGAUGGUAAGCCACACGAGAGGUGGGACAGGGUCAAGGGUCCUACGAGAGGGAGCAGUGGGGAAUGUUGGGCAAUGGGCGGAAGCCUGAUCCAGCCAUACCGCGUGGGUGAGGAAGGCCUUCGGGUUGUAAAGCCCUUUUGUUGGGAAAGAAAAGCAGCAGGUUGAGACCCCGCUGUUCUGACGGUACCCAAAGAAUAAGCACCGGCUAACUUCGUG